AACGCAUAUUGCGCCCACGGCCUCGGCCAAGGGCAUGCCUGUCUCAGCGUCCGCUCACCCCCUCGCCCACCCUUUCCUUGUUGAAAGCGGUAUGGACGGAUGUGGCCGUCUCGCUUCUCUUCUCGAAAGAAAGGCGGGUCGGCUGAAGCGCAGGGCUCGCGGCGGGACCCCACUCGAUCGGGGCGCCAGCAUGGUAGGUGGCUCACGCUCACAUAUCGGCUGUCGCACCCCACAUCACCGGCGCCCGCCCGCUGCCACAGCAGGAAAAACCCCUUACAAAACUUGGACCUGAGAUCAGACAAGACCACCCGCUGAACUUAA
rnacentral:misc_RNA from 1 species